UCUCAAUGUCUGCCGAGGCAGAGCCUUCGUCCUCCGGGUACGUGCCUGGUGACGUGGACGACUACAUUUCGCAAUCUUCUUCAGGAAUGUUUUCAGAAUUUAGAGAGAAUACAAGCUAAUUUCACAGGGAGGAGGAGCCAAAGAAAAGCAGAACGCAGUGAUGGCUUUGAUUGCACACUAUGCUUGAACCUGUCACAACUCCUUGUGGGCUUUCUUUUUGUCGUUCACGCCUAUUUCAGUCGGUGAGGAGGAUAAUGGAAGGCAACCGUCGGAUCAGCACCGGUCCUUUUCUUUCCUUUUUAACUUUCUUAAGAUUGAAAGUCGCCGACGGUUUCGUAUAAUUCGAUCUUGGGACCAAGAUGGGUACCGUGUUGCAGAGAUUGAAUGGGUACAGGACAUAUAUCCACCACAAGUGUCUAGAGAGAGAGCAGACUUGAGUUCAUGACAAUUUGGUUUGCUGUAAUCUCUAUAUUGGAGUGUGCUCUUUUCUUCUAUAUUUUAUUUUUAAAUUUGUUGUUGUAGAGUAAGAAGCUUGAGUUAAACUUGAGCUGGUGCUUAACAAUGCUGUUGAGUAUUUUUUAUAAAUUGGUCACACAUUUUUCUA